rfam:Cajanus cajan Scaffold136876_55, whole genome shotgun sequence.
ACUAAGUAUGUGUACCUGCUGUAAAUAUGGACAAAAAGCAAAUGCGUGGGCUUUAGGUGGGAUUGACUAAAUUUCAAGUUACCCAUAAAGGUCCCACAUACAUUG